rnacentral:rRNA from 1 species
AGUAAUACAAGGCAGACGGCUCAGUAACACGUAGCCAAUCUAACCUAUGGACGGGGAUAACCUCGGGAAACUGAGAGUAAACCCCGAUAGAUCAUAAUGCCUGGAACGGUUUAUGGUCCAAAUGAUUCGUCGCCGUAGGAUGAGACUGCGGCUUAUCAGCUUGUUGGUGAGGUAAUGGCCCACCAAGGCUAUUACAGGUACGGGCUCUGAGAGGAGAAGCCCGGAGAUGGGUACUGAGACACGGACCCAGGCCCUAUGGGGCGCAGCAGGCGAGAAACCUUUGCAAUGUGCGCAAGCACGACAAGGUUAAUCCGAGUGUUUUCCUGCUUAAGGAAUCUUUUGCUAGUCCUAAAAAACAACUAGUUGAAUAAGGGGUGGGCAAGUUCUGGUGUCAGCCGCCGCGGUAAAACCAGCACCUCAAGUGGUCAGGAGGAUUAUUGGGCCUAAAGCAUCCGUAGCCGGCUCUGUAAGUUUUCGGUUAAAUCUGUAUGCUCAACAUACAGGCUGCCGGGAAUACUGUAGAGCUAGGGAGUGGGAGAGGUAGACGGUACUCGGUAGGAAGGGGUAAAAUCCUUUGAUCUAUUGAUGACCACCUGUGGCGAAGGCGGUCUACCAGAACACGUCCGACGGUGAGGGAUGAAAGCUGGGGGAGCAAACCGGAUUAGAUACCCGGGUAGUCCCAGCUGUAAACGAUGCAGACCCGGUGAUGCCCUGGCUUGUGGCCAGUGCAGUGCCGCAGGGAAGCCGUUAAGUUUGCCGCCUGGGAAGUACGUACGCAAGUAUGAAACUUAAAUGAAUUGACGGA